UUUGGCCUGUAGUGCAAAGAUGAAUGAUUUCUGAUGAAUAUCUUUGGCCCGUAGUGCAAAGAUGAACAGGUGUUUAGAUGAACAUGACCAACUGGUGAAUGUCAUUGGCCUGUAGUGCAGGGAUGAAUAUUUGAUCUCAGAUAUAUAUUGAUUGAUGUUACAGGGAUAAAAAUAGACGAUGAACUUUAAAAUUCAUACAUAGAAGAUAGUAGUUUGCAUUCUCAACUUAACUCUUCUAAUGAAUUAUUAUUUCCGCUGCGAAUAU
rnacentral:lncRNA from 1 species